rnacentral:rRNA from 1 species
UACGUAGGCAGCGAGCGUUGUUCGGAGUUACUGGGCGUAAAGCGUGCGUAGGCGGUGUCUUAAGUUUGUUGUGAAAUCCCACGGCUUAACCGUGGAACUGCUUGGUAUACUGGCGGUCUUGAGCCAGCUAGGGGCUACCGGAACAAAUGGUGGAGCGGUGAAAUGCGUAGAUAUCAUUUGGAACGCCAAUGGUGAAAACAGGUAGCUGGGGCUGUGCUGACACUGAGACACGAAAGCCAGGGGAGCAAACGGG